GUUGAUCCUGCGGGAGAUCGCUGCUAUUUGGGUUCGACUAAGCCAUGCAAGUCUGGGCUCGCAAGAGACCGGCAUAAGGCUCAGUAACACGUCGAUAACUUGCCCUUAAGUCUGGGAUAACCUUGGAAAACUGAGGCUAAACCCGGAUAGGAAAUGAUCUCUGGAAUGAGUAAUUUCCCAAAGGUAACGCUUAAGGAUAGGUCGGCGGCGGAUUAGGCUGUUGGUGAGGUAACGGCUCACCAAACCAAAGAUCCGUAGGGGCUCUAGAGGAGUAGCCCCGAGAAGGGCACUGAGACACUGGCCCUAGCCCUACGGGGUGCAGCAGGCGCGAAACCUUUACAAUGCACGCAAGUGUGAUAAGGGAACCCAAAGUGCUUAGCUUUGCUAGGCUUUUGCCAAGAGUAAAUAUCUUGGAGAAUAAGUGGUGGGAAAGACUGGUGCCAGCCGCCGCGGUAACACCAGCGCCACGAGUGGGGAUCCUGAUUAUUUGGCCUAAAGCGUCCGUAGCUGGUUGAGUAAAUCUCUCGUGAAAUUGUUCUGCUUAACAGAACAGCGUGCAGGAGAGACUGCUCAGCUAGGGACCGGGAGGAGUCAGAGGUAUGCUGGGGGGAGCGGUAAAAUGCUAUAAUCCUCGGUAGACCACCUGUGGCGAAGGCGUCUGACUAGAACGGGUCCGACAGUGAGGGACGAAAGCCAGGGGAGCAAACCGGAUUAGAUACCCGAGUAGUCCUGGCUGUAAACUCUGCGAGCUAGGUGUUGCAUAUUCUCCGUGAAUGUGCAGUGUCGAAGCGAAGGCGUUAAGCUCGCCGCCUGGGAAGUACGGUCGCAAGACUGAAACUUAAAGGAAUUGGCGGGGGAGCACUACAAGGGGUGCGGCGUGCGGUUUAAUCUAACUCCACACAGAGAAUCUCACCAGAGGCGACGGCAGGAUGAAGGUCAGUCUGAAGGGCUUACCUGACGAGCCGAGAGGUAUUGCAUGGCCGCCGUCAGCUCGUGCCGUAAGGUGUCCUGUUAAGUCAGGCAACGAGCGAGACCUGUAUCCACAAUUGCUAACGACUCAUUCUGAGAAUCGAGCACAUUGUGGGGACUGCCUUGGAAACAAGGAGGAAGGUGCAGGCAACGGUAGGUCUGUAUGCUCCGAAUCUUCUGGGCUACACGCGCGCAACAAUGGUGCAGACAAUGGGCUGCGACUCCGAAAGGAGAAGCUAAACCUCGAAACUGCAUCUUAGUCCGGAUUGAGGAUUGUAACUCAUCCUCAUGACGCUGGAAUCCCUAGUAAUCGGACGUCAUCAGCGUCCGGUGAAUAUGUCCCUGCUCCUUGCACACACCGCCCGUCAAACCACCCGAGUUGGGUCUAGAUGAGGCUUAGUUUUUAAUUAAGUCGAAUCUAAGCUUAGCGAGGAGGGUUAAGUCGUCACAAGGUA
rnacentral:rRNA from 1 species